rnacentral:lncRNA from 1 species
UUAAGGACUAUGUAGGUCAAGUGGAUACAUUAAGGACCAAAAUGAUCAAAUUCCAAUAGAUUAGUGACCAUUUUCGUCAUGAAUGGACUUAACUUUCCCAACUCUCUCUCUCCAAAGAAGGCAAGUUUGUCUGAGCUAAAUUUGAUCAAAACCUCACAAUUUAGAGCAAAUUUAAUGGAGGUACUCACGAUUUGAGGUAUUUUGAUCUGAUUAUUGGUUAAUUCUCGAUGCCUUUUCUCUAAUUUCCCCAAUUUUGAGCUCAGGGUUCCUUGGGUCUCGAAUCUAUCACGCACUUGUGAUUUGCCAUGAACAGGGCAAGUUACAGACUAGCUAAAAGAACUAUCCUAGACGAUGAAGAAGGGUGAAUUGCACUACGAACAAUUGCACCUGGAAUAUGUCUUUUAUUUCAUUAGAGUCGAAGCAAGAUUUCACUGUUGUCCAACUAAGUUGUGUAUUUUGAGGUCCAGCUUGUUUCCAUUGUCAAGGUGUGUGAUGUUCUGUCUGUAGACAUACGCAAUGCAGUAAAAUGGAUACACAUUACCUGAGAUGUAAAGGUGCCAAAAAGUUGCUCUAUCACUUAUUGGUCUUGCUUCCUG